GGGGGGGUUGAGGCUUUUCCAUUAGUUCUU
rnacentral:misc_RNA from 1 species